AAGGUUGCAAAAUGGCGAGGGGGGAGGUAAGCUGUCUUUGCUUGGCCAUCUUGGGCUAGCAGGCCUUGCAGAGAACUACCUUUUUAGCUGAGUGAAGGGAUCAACCUGAGUUGGAGUUCUCCUAUGCUGUGGCCAGAUCCACUAGAAAUUAACCCAGAAUCUUAGCCUCUCAGUGGCCUAUCGGUAAGUGGGUACAAAAAUGAGGAGGCGAUGAUGACUCUGCAAAAGGUUGCGGCAGCUGGCGGUGCGUAGGAAAUGCGUAAAAAGGGAGCACUUGGAGACAGGCCACAUUUGGGCAGUACGCAUUCGGAGGGCUCUCUGGCUUUCCGAUCUUGGGUCGCUGUACUUGGCUCUGAAUACAGUCACCCCAUCAGAGUAGCAAAACACUGUGGUUGUAGUGUGAGAAUCCAAUGUUAAUGUUGGCCGAAAGCUCUUGAUUUUCUUCCCUGAGAACAUAGGCGUGAGGAUUUGGAUGUGUUUCCAAAUGCUUGUUACUCUUUGCCGUAAACCUGGAAUUUGGACCUAUGGCUGCCUGGGACUCAUACUGUCGUGGAGAAAGAUUGAAAAGUAGUUAAUGGCAGUGGUGGUAUGAAGGUGAUGCCACACUCAAUCAGAAACUAUGCUACUGCUGAAGAGGUAUAUUGAGCCCUGCCUGGUUAACCUCCAGUGAGGUUAUUAGAGAAUUGGGAGAGGCUCAAAUCAGCAUCCUGCACCUAGUUAUCAAACCAUUGUGAAGUCUUGAUUCCUGGAUGGCCAGAAAACUUGUCAUUGGUCAAGAGCAACAUUAAGAUCUGCCUGUUACUCAUACUGAUGCUUCCUGCCCAGCAAGUUCAUCAGAGGGCGAGGAUGAAUUACGGUUGCCAUGAAUGUCCUUGUGAGGCAGUUGGGAAGCCUUGGCUGGAUUGUGAAGGAUAUUUGAAAAGUAUUUUAGAGUCCACCAGAUCAUCCAUGUGAGUGACCAUGCAGCAAAAGAAGGAGGGUCCUCUCAGUGAUUAAGGUAACAUAGUGAUUAAGGUAAGUAGGGAAAGAGAGGCUUACUUUGCCCUGAUUCUUGUCAGGGAGGCUCUUAGAGAUGCCAUUUCCAGAGCAUAAGUGACAGGCCAGCAUUUUCAAAGCUUGCAACUUAUUCUAUAAUAUAUCCUUCUUAAAACAAUUCAUGUAGAUUAUAUGCUCACCCAGUCUGGGAUCACUCCUGCAGAAGAUCAGAAGAACUGAAAUAUAGGUGACAUAAGCUCCUGCUUUUGUAAAUGUUUUGUUGAAACACAGUUGUGUUCAUCCAUUAUUGUCGAUGGCAGCUUUCAUGCUACAGCAGAGUUGAGUAGUUGGGAGAGAAACCAAAUGGACCAUAGAGUUUGAAAUAUUACUGUCUGGCCCUUCACAGAAAGUUUGCCAAUUCCUGGCAUAGGUUAAAUAAAUGUACUAUAUCCACAAAUCCUCCUCUCCCCAUUUUCCUUUCAAUGGGACUUGCAUUUACAGUUGAUCCUAGAAUGUAUGGAAUCUCAUAGUAAUCAGCUUGCUUCUGAAUUUCUUCCCACUCAAAUUAAGCUCACUCAGAAAGCACAUUCACAAAUUGGGCUACAUAUACAGAAGGAGCUAUGUUUUAUAUGCCUCACUGUAGUCAACUCAUUUAUCCUAUAUGUAUGGUUCCCCCAUUUUUUCCUUCUUUUCAGGGGUAACUUUUAAACUUGAGCCAUUCAUGAGUAUCCAAAAAGUUACAACUUAUGUUCUCUAAUUAAGACUUCAUCCUUAUUUUAGUAUACUUCCCCUCUCUGGCUUUUUUGCAUAUUUCUGCAGAUGUCUUGACCUUUCUGGGGAGUAAGCCCCCUUAGAAGAUUAAUUUUCUGUAGUUCUCUAUUGAGGAAAUACAUGACAUUUAGCUUUUUAAUAAUUUGAUGCCAUUCAUUGAGUACCUACUGUGUGCUUUAUGUACCCUGUCUCGUUGAAUUUUUACAAAAAACUGAAAGAGUUAGUUUUGUGUUAUUACUACCUCCAUCUCAAAGAUGAGUCUUGGAAAGCUUAAGUAACUUUAGGUCACAUUGUAAUCAGUGGCAGAACUGGGACUUAAGAACAUAAUUCAUGACUGCAUUUUCUUUUCUUUCUUUCUCUUUCUUUCUCUCUCUCUCUUUUUUUUUUUUUUUUAAAGAGAUAGCAUCUCACUCACUAUGUUGCCCAGACUGGUCUUGAACUCUUGGGCUCAAGCAAUUCUUCCACCUCCGCCUCCCAAAGUGUUAGGAUUAUAGGCAUGAGCCCUCAUGCCUGCCCCUUGCAUUUUCUAUUUAAGUGAUCUUGAAGUUUUUUUUUUUCUUUUUUAAAUCUCGGAAUUUGGCCUUUAGUAAGCAUAGAAUAGCAAAGUGUAAUACCUGAGCUGGGGGAAAAAGUCCUUGAAUUCUUUAGGAAAGACUUAAUUGGUGGGUACAAAGUGAAAUGCUCACUGGAAUCAGGAAUCAGAAACCAGUUCUGAUCACCUAUCCCUACAUAUCCUUCUUCACUCUGCCCUGGCAUAUCAUGGUUGAUGUACAUAGCAAUGAUCAUCCCUUCUGUAAUCCCACUUGACAGUUUAGAAGUGGAUUGAUAAUACUCUUCUGGCUUAAAACCCUUCUUCUCUGGGCAGGUGUGGUGGCUCCUACAUUAUCCCAGCACCUUGGGAGGCCGAGAUGGGAGGAUUGUGUGAGCCCAGGAGUUUGAGACCAGCCUGGGUAACAUAGCAAGACCCUGUCUCCACAAAAAAAUAAAAAAUUAACUGGGCACGGUGGUGCUCACGCCUGUAAUCCCAGCACCUGGGGAGGCCGAGGCGGGUGGAUCACGAGGUCAAGAGAUCGAGACCAUCCUGGCCAACAUGGUGAAACCCCGUCUGUACUAAAAAUACAAAAAUUAGCCAGGCGUGAUAGCAGGCGCCUGUAGUUCCAGCUAUGGGAGGCUGAGGCAGGAGAAUCAGAUGAACCUGGGAGACGGAGGUUGCAGUGAGCUGAGAUCACGCCACUGCACUCCAGCCUGGUGACAGAGUGACACUCCGUCUCAAAAAAAAAAAGAAACGAUCACAUCCAGAUGUCCUGUUACUGGAAGGGCACCAUAGUUUAUCCUGCACCUAACACUAAUACACCUACUCUGGGAAUUCUUCUACCUACAACUAUUUAUUUAUCUGAUCCCAUCUGGUAUUAAAGUUCUAAAAGUUAACAGAAUUCUUAAAGGUUCCCAAUGCCUCCCAGAAACCCCAUCAUCUCAAAAUCACUAGCUAUUAAAAGAAGCAAAAAAAAAAAAAAAAAAAGGUGGCUCCUGACCUAGUCUCUUUGAGUAUGAAGACCUAUUUACUAUGUAAAGCUGUCACCUGCCUUGAAAAGAUUAAGACAGCAAGAAAGUUCUUAGAAAGUGGGUAUGUGGCUGGCCUCAGAUAAGGAUAAAUUGCUGAGAAGAAGGAGUUGGGUUUUUUUUGUGUUUUUUUGUUUCUUGUUUUUGAGACAGGGUCUUGCUCUAUCUCCCAGGCUGGAGUGCAAUGGUGCGAUCACAGCUCACUGCAGCCUCAACCUCCCAGACUCAAAUAAUCCUCCCUCCUCAGCCUCCCAAGUAGCUAGGACUACAGGAUGCACCACCGUGCCCAUUGUUUCUAUAUCAGGGUCUUAUAAUAUGGCAGACACAAUGGCCUCCCACAGAGAAAUGAGCCAUAAAAGGACCCUGUAAAAGCAAGGAUGGCUCAUUGUUUUAAGACAGCCAAAUGUAUGGCACUUGGAGAAUUUCAAAGAGUAGAAGGCCUUCUUGAUUGCACUCCCCUUUAACAGCCUUGCCUCUUAUGGGGCUAUGUGGAUCGUUGAAAUGGUUCACAAGUAAAGUGAAAAAUGGUUAUGCGUAGUGUGUCAGCCCCACCCUAAGCUCCCAGAGCCUCCAUUCUGAGUACAAAGGUCAGUUUUCUUCUCGGGACAGGCCAAGGAUGAUGGGGUUUUAAUUUCUCUCCUGAUCCAUGGCAAAGCAUUCCUAAACUAGGCACUGGAAGUCUUGGUAACUGGAAAGAGACAUUCACCAAGAUGAGGAAGGCCAAAACCAAGUGCCUUAUAUAGUCCCUAGAAAGCAUUUCAUUUUAUGGAACAAUCUUUGGUCUCUCUUUUUUUUUUUUUUUUUGUGAGACAGUGACUCAGGCUGGAGUACAGUGAUUAGGUCACUGCUCAUUGCAGCCUCAACUUCCCGUGCUCAGGUGAUCCUCUCACCUCAACUUCCCGAGUAGUUGGGACUGCAAGCAAGCGCCACCAUGCCCAGCUAAUUUUUUGUAUUUUUUUGUAGAGACGGGGUUUUCCCAUGUUGCCCAGGCUGGUCUCAAACUUCUGGACUCAAGCAAUCCACCUGCCUUCGCCUCCCAAAGUGCUGGGAUUACAGGUGUAAGCUACCAUGCCCAGCUCUGGUCUCCUUUCUUAAUCCUGUUGAAUAAGGAAGAUUUUUUUUAUCUGAACCCUCCUCUUACUCUUCUUUCUGUUCUCCUUCCAUGAUCACUUUGUCCAUCUUCCUCUUUGUCAUAGGCAUGUCCUAUUUCUAAUUCCCUUUCUCUUUUCUUUGGUAGGCUAGCCUUCGAGACUGCAUUACCCUCCCCAACUUAAAAUCUUUUGAUAACCCAGGCAGCUGGGUUAUCCCCAAUUUAAAGUCUUUUUGUUGUAGCUGUAUGGCAUUUAUCUAGAGCAUGGGGUACACACAGUAGGUUUCUCUCCUCUCUUUUUUAACAUAUUUAUUAUGUUUAUGCAUGUAAAGAGUUUGUUGUUGGCCAGGCCUGAUGGCUCACGCCUCUAAUCCCAGCACUUUGGGAGGCUGAGGCGGGAGGUCAGGAGUUCGAGAGCAGCCUGGCCAACGUGAUGAAACCCUGUCUCUACUAAAAAUACAAAAAUUAGUGGAACAGGGUGGCUCAUGCCUGUAAUUGCAGCUACUCAGGAGGCUGAAGUAGGAGAAUCACUUGAGCCUGGGAGCUGAGAUCGUGCCAUUACACUCCAGUCUGGGUGACAGAGGGAAACUCUGUUUCAAAAUCAACAACAACAAAAAAAAGUUUAAAAAUUGGAAACCACCAAAAGGUAGUAUUAAAAGGGAAAUAAAAAUUACUCAUAAUCCCAGAACGCAGUCAUAUGCUAUUUUUAGUCUUAUUUUAUUCAGCCAUUUUUCUCUUUACACAAACUUUUUUUUUUUUUUUUGAGAUGGAGUCUCACUCUGUUGCCUGAGCUGGAGUGCAGUGGUGCGAUCUCGGCUCACUGCAACCUCCGCCUCUUGGGUUCAAGCGAUUCU
rnacentral:lncRNA from 1 species